rnacentral:rRNA from 1 species
GAUGAACGCUAGCGGCAGGCCUAACACAUGCAAGUCGAGGGGCAUCGCGGUGCAGCAAUGCACUGGCGGCGACCGGCGUACGGGUGCGUAACGCGUAUGCAACCUGCCCCGCACCGGGGGAUAGCCCGCCGAAAGGCGGAUUAAUACCCCAUGGUCCCGGGGGCCCGCAUGGGCAUCCGGGUAAAGCCUUGGCGGUGCGGGAUGGGCAUGUGUGCCAUUAGCUGGCUGGUGGGGUAACGGCCCACCAGGGCAACGAUGGCUAGGGGGUCUGAGAGGAUGGUCCCCCACACUGGUACUGAGACACGGACCAGACUCCUACGGGAGGCAGCAGUGAGGAAUAUUGGUCAAUGGGCGGAAGCCUGAACCAGCCAUGCCGCGUGCGGGAUGAAGGCCCUACGGGUUGUAAACCGCUUUUCCCCGGGAAGAAUAAGCCCCCCGCGGGGGGUGAUGCCGGUACCGGGGGAAUAAGGAUCGGCUAACUCCGUG